GGCUCAGUGGCGCGUGGCGCGCAUCUGCAUAUCAUCCUCCUCUUCCAAAUGAGGUAAAUUGAGGCAGAUUUCGCCUGUUCGACUCAGGCCCGAGCCA